GAAUUGCGAUAAGUAAUGUGAAUUGCAGACGUACACGAAUCAUCAAACCCUUGAACGCAUACUGCGCCUGAGGGCAUUCCCUCAGGCAUAUCUGAUUUAGUGUCUGUUUUCAAACCUUGUACCUUUUUAUUAAGGAACAGAUCUGGAUCUAGCAUUAACUAAUAACCAAUGCUUUUUCUAAAAUACAAGUACCAUUGAUUGAUAGCAUUUUUGAUAUCAUCACUAUCGGAAGAACCGACUGAUAAAGUUUAGGAUCAACUAAUAGUAUUAAAGGUGAUUGAAGAACCAUCGAUCGACUUGUUGGGAAACAGAAACACGAAUAACGUUAUUCCUUAUUAAGGAAUUACCAAUUUGACCUAAAUCAGGUAAGAAAACCCGCUGAACUUAAGC
rnacentral:misc_RNA from 1 species